UCGAACGCGAAAACCCCGCAAGGGGUUAGUAGAGUGGCGAACGGGUGAGUAACACGUGGGUGACCUACCUUCGAAUGGGGGAUAACGUCCCGAAAGGGACGCUAAUACCGCAUAACAUCCUGCUUUUGAACAAGUGGAGAUCAAAGCCGGGGAUCGCAAGACCUGGCGUUUGAAGAGGGGCCCGCGUCUGAUUAGCUAGUUGGUGAGGUAACGGCUCACCAAGGCGACGAUCAGUAUCCGGCCUGAGAGGGCGGACGGACACACUGGGACUGAGACACGGCCCAGACUCCUACGGGAGGCAGCAGUGGGGAAUUGUUCGCAAUGGGCGCAAGCCUGACGACGCAACGCCGCGUGGAGGAUGAAGGUCUUCGGAUUGUAAACUCCUGUUGCCCGGGACGAAACGCUUCGACCUAACACGUCGGAGUUUGACGGUACCGGGUGAGGAAGCCCCGGCUAACUCUGUGCCAGCAGCCGCGGUAAUACAGAGGGGGCAAGCGUUGUUCGGAAUUACUGGGCGUAAAGGGCGCGUAGGCGGCCUUCUAAGUCGAACGUGAGAUCCCCGGGCUCAACCCGGGAACUGCGUCCGAUACUGGAAGGCUUGAAUCCGGGAGAGGGAUGCGGAAUUCCAGGUGUAGCGGUGAAAUGCGUAGAUAUCUGGAGGAACACCGGUGGCGAAGGCGGCAUCCUGGACCGGCAUUGACGCUGAGGCGCGAAAGCCAGGGGAGCAAACGGGAUUAGAUACCCCGGUAGUCCUGGCCCUAAACGAUGAAUGCUUGGUGUGGCGGGUAUCGAUCCCUGCCGUGCCGAAGCUAACGCAUUAAGCAU
rnacentral:rRNA from 1 species